GAUUGAACGCUGGCGGCAGGCCUAACACAGGCAAGUCGAGCGGAUGACGGGAGCUUGCUCCUGGAUUCAGCGGCGGACGGGGGAGUAAUGCCUAGGAAUCUGCCUGGUAGUGGGGGAUAACGUCCGGAAACGGGCGCUAAUACCGCAUACGUCCUGAGGGAGAAAGUGGGGGUUCUUCGUACCUCACGCUAUCAGAUGAGCCUAGGGCGGAUUAGCUAGUUGGUGGGGUAAAGGCCUACCAAGGCGACGAUCCGUAACUGGUCUGAGAGGAUGAUCAGUCACACUGGAACUGAGACACGGUCCAGACUCCUACGGGAGGCAGCAGUGGGGAAUCUUGGACAAUGGGCGAAAGCCUGAUCCAGCCAUGCCGCGUGUGUGAAGAAGGUCUUCGGAUUGUAAAGCACUUUAAGUUGGGAGGAAGGGCAGUAAGUUAAUCCCUUGCUGUUUUGACGUUACCAACAGAAUAAGCACCGGCUAACUUCGUG
rnacentral:rRNA from 1 species